UCCCGUUCCACACUGCUUCAAUGGGAGCACUGGGGACCCCCAGCCCUGUGUGAGGGGUUUGCAAGGAGCCAGGUUCCAACGACGCUGUUAAAGGAAUUAACCCCUUGGGUUUGUGGGCUGCAGCAGGGCUUGUUAGGGAAGGACAUCUCAAGUCCUUCCCUGACCUCCUGGGUGCCCAGAGCAGAUGCUCCAGCCUGGGAACACUUGGAAUUCAUUCCCGGAUGGAGAGCCUGAAGGUAGAUUGAGAUGAGCUCUUAGGCAGAAGCUCUUCCCUGGGAGGGUGCUGAGGCGCUGGCACAGGGUGCCCAGAGAAGCUGUGGCUGCCCCAUCCCUGGCAGUGUUCAAGGCCAGGUUGGACACAGGGGCUUGGAGCAAGCUGCUCCAGUGGAAGGGAGUUGGAACUCGAUGAGCCCUUGCCUGCGGGUGCUGGAUGGCCGCUGCCCCUCUGCUGCUCCCUCCUGCUGCAGGCACUGAUAGCUGCCAGGUGAGAGCACGUCCCUGUGACUCAGGGAGCAGUUCCUGCUCCCAGGGCUGGCGAACCCCAGAGCAGACAGCUCAGGAUGCGUGUCCCUCUGCUCACGAAGCCUUUGACACUUCUGGGUUCUCUGCAUGUCUCCAUUCAUCCCAGAGAGGUGCCUGCAGAUGACUAAGAGCUACAAGCCAUGGCAGCCAGCCCUGCUGACCCGACUCACUCCCAGCCCUUGUGCUGAGCUGGGUCCCAAUGUCACCACGCACCCACAUGCUGGAGGCACAUGAUGGACAUGGUGCAACAAGGCUGCAAAUGGGCACCAGGACUCUGUGUGGGGCCCUGCAGGGAUCUCAGCCCUGGGCAAUUGGGGAAGCUUUGUCUGCUGCCCUGGCAUGUGCAGGGCUCCAGAGGUGUAGCUGUGCUGUCCCCACUCUGAUGCCCAUCGUGUAGGCUUGGCAGUGAGCUCUGUCCCCUUCUCCUGCCUCCAUCCCUGGAGGGGAAGAGCAGGAGAUCUCCUGGCCCUGCUGCUCCCUCUCUUGUGUGUCCUCUGCUUUGGGUUCCUUAGACCAAAAACUGCUUCUCAAGAGUGAUUUGUUCAGCAAUGGGCAUAAAUCCUCUGCUCUUCACAUUGCUCUCGGUGGGAUAAAAUACUCCGUGCCUGUCUAUUUAAACAUCUUAUGUUAAUACCUUGAAAUGUUUGUUCAUCUUCUAUUAUUCUUUUAGCUCUGAAGUACUAAACGCUCCCGGGCAUGUCAGAGUACAGCAAAUCCAUGGCUACAGAUGCUGCAGCUGAGCGAGCCCUGGGCUGAGCAGACAGGGAUGCUUCUGGACAAAGGGAGAGCUGACAUUUUCUGGCAGAGGGGCUGUGACUGGGAAGGGCUUAGCGAAACGGUAAAUAGCUGCUGUCACAGGCACUUGCGUAACUGCUUGGGUUUCCCCAUCAUUAUUCAUUAGUUGAGUCUAGCUUCUCUCUGCUUUGGCUCUGCUGUGGUAAACCUGAGGUUAUCCAGUAAGCCGGGAGCGCUGCUUCGGGAAGGAGAGGGUGCUACUUGAGUGCAAAUGCUCUGGGUACUUCUGCUAAAUGCAUCUGCUGGGCUGAAGUGAUCACAGCAGGGAGGAAUCAUGCAGAUACUGAGUCACUGGUGCACCGUGGGCAGAGGCAGUGGGACCAGUCCUUGGCUCUGGAGCAGGGAUGGGGGAAACCACUUUCCCAGGCCCAGCCAAGCCCCUUGCCUUGCUGCUUGGUCACAGGGUUUCCUGGGAGCUGCGCUGUGGUUUGCCUGUGCCUCACUGCUCUGCAGCUUUACCGUUCACAGGUGACCUUGGGAGGUGCAGGCUGAGCUGCACAGUGGGGCAGAUGGGGAGGAUGAGGAUUCAUUUCACAGCUCCUUGCAGGAUCGCACACGCUCGCACAGCACCACAGGCUGCCCCUGGGCAGUGGUAAGUACGCUGCUGGCCCUGUCCCUUCAACCCUCAGCAGCGAUUUCGAGUCAAAGCAGACACCGAAAGGAUCGUUCUUUUCCUUGACGGAAGCACAAGAGGAAAAACAAUAGCCAGGGUGUGCCCGAUCCAUCCGUCACUGAGGAAAUAAAACCAUCCUCCUAAACCUUAAUGCCAUCAUUCACUCAGACCAAAGGUAGAGAUCAAGGCUGCUUAGUCGGAGCAGUACCUAAGGCCGUGUCUACUCAGGCAGACAGGCAGGCGCAGUGACAAGCAAAUUACUCUGGCAUGGUCCCUGGGGAGCGUGCGCUCUCCCGCAGAGCAAGCGAUUGCCUCAGAAACACAUCUGCUCCUCAAGGGGCCCUUGGGCUACGCAGGGAGUAAGUUACUCCACGGAGUGCUUAUGAGGAUCUUGUUAAAAGCCAAGGAAUAAGUUCAAGAGAGAACGCUUCAGUGAAAAAUCAGUGCAUUUGUCUGCAGCUACAGAGGACUCUGAUACUCGCGGGUGAAGCGCGCAAUGGGAUGGGUAACGCGGGCGCACAGGCUCAAACCGUGAGUCAGUCAGUUCUGCAAAUCCUUGGCUUGCUUCUCCUCUAGCUCUCCCUCGAUAACUUCCCUUUUCCUCUGAGAGGACUUGAGCUCCCUCCUCCCCUCUCUCAUCACUACUGCACGUUGCACCACUGGGGACCAGUCGACGUGUGCACCGGAGCGGAGCUCCCACGAGAGGGGAGUGACCUUCCCACUGGUGCCUCCGCCGGGCACGCUUCCAAACUGGAGUGUGUGUGUCAGCUGAUGGGUUCUCGCUCUGGCAACCAGCUAUGAUGCUGCCAUCAGAGACGUCUUUAUCGAGGCCAGCGAGGGAAGCAGAUGGUCUCUCAGUCAGCAUCUCCAUAAAUGAAAGGCCCCGGGCAUGCGUGCGCUGCAGAGGGGAUUUCCACCUCUUUCCUGUGGGUGCAGAUAUCUCACAGCAGGACGGAGCCACAGCAGCACUCAACAGCCCAGCAGCGCCUGUCCUGCAGCAGAAAGGGGAUGAUGCAGCUGCCCAGCAGCCAUGCUCAGCGCCCCGCUUCCCAUCCCAACCUCCCCACUGAGCGCCUCAGCCCAGGGACCAGGACUAUGCCUGUCCCCACCAUCCAACCCCAGCAGAAGGACAGUCAGAUUGUGGUGAUAUGAGGGCCUGAGCCCAAACCAUCAUCUGUGCAGGAUACCUUCCGAAACAAAGGGGUGUUUGAUGGGGGUCUGGAUGUAGAAGUAGAGUGUGCAAGUUAGAAAGCACUGCUGCAAAGCACCAUGAAGGUGCUCAGCACCCCUUGUGAAAUCCAUGGUAAGGUUCUUGGCAUAUCUCUGGCAGACUUGGUGCUGUUUCGGCUCUCUGAAUACAGCUCCUUCCCUCCCCUCAGCCUUGUUCUCUGUUCUGCAGCUCCUCCAGCAUUCCCCAGGCUGGGACGACUCAACCUGCGGCAGUGCUGGUUUGCCAUGGGGGAAAUGCUCCCGGGGCAGUGGUUUCACUGAAGCCCUGCUGGCUCCGGCCCCCGGGGGAGCAGAGCGGGGCACAGACCUGCGGGCACGUCUGGAGGAAGCAGCAGCUGGAAAGCACCGUGAUAGCGACGGCAGCAGCAGCCCCACGACACGAGGUCCAGGGCAGAGCGGAGCAGAGGCGGGACUGUCCCUGAAGAUGCUCCAGGCGUGUUUGCACAAGGAAUUUAAGUGCAACGCCUCCUCCGCAGGGCUGCGCACUGGAACGGGUCAAUACGCUUUCAAAUCACAAUUGAGAGCCAAUUUCUUGCUUUGGAAUGAGAUGCUUUAGGAGCUUUACCCAGCAGCAGGAAGAGGAGGUGGCUCUGCAGGACCUCUCCCUCCACAGGGCACCCUUGCCCAGGGAAGAAGCAAAACCUCCUGCCUUGUCGGUGGUUGUGAGGGGUGCACCAGCGAUCCUAGCAGAGCCUUUGUUCUGGAAGCCUUCAUGCCCUCAGAAGCUGCCGGCUCCGCAGCAGCCCUUGCAGUGCCAAGCUUUCUCUUCAAAGCAAUUUGCAAAUGUGAAAAGGAAAGGGAAAGAAAAUCAAAAGUAAGCACCGGGAGCCUUGGGGUGCAGCCAGCCCAUGACCCCUUUUGACUUCUAGGGUGGAGAAGCCAAGACCAUCUACCUUGGCAUCUCUUCUUACCAAAUCAAACCAGGCAGCGUGCAGUUGCUGUCACUGCUUUGCAUAAAGGAGGAGAUCCAGCUUUGUGGCUCUUACUUUGGGGUAUUUCCUAUAAAAAGCACAUCUGUGGCCAUGCUUUUUGGUGCAAUAGGCUCUAGCCUGGAAGCAAAAGCACAUAAACAAUGCUAAAUUCAUGCUGACUGGAGUAGAUUCCAAAGGAAAGAAGAGUUGGGAAAGCACCUACUUAAGUACUGACUAAGGAUAUUAUCUGUAAUCUGAAUCUAGCCUCUGUGUGUGUGUUACUGUUGAGUACACAGUGCGGUUUCAGACAUGGCCAGAGACAAGAAAAAAUGAUUGUUCAGGGUAACCACAAGGAAGAUGAAUGCAAAUGUAUUCCUGUAACUGGGAGAGUUCCCUUGCUCUUAAGCUGGGCUCCGGUACAUGGCCUCAGGGAAGCAAAUUUGCAACUACCUUCAUUAAAUUGUUUAGGAAUGA